GGGGGAAUUUUGCGCAAUGGGCGAAAGCCUGACGCAGCAACGCCGCGUGGGGGAUGAAGGUCUUUGGAUUGUAAACUCCUGUCAGCAGGGAAGAAGGCCUCGGCGCAGAGCCGAGGAUUGACGGUACCUGCAGAGGAAGCCCCGGCUAACUCUGUGCCAGCAGCCGCGGUAAUACAGAGGGGGCAAGCGUUAUUCGGAAUUAUUGGGCGUAAAGGGCGCGUAGGCGGCCGUGCAAGUGGAAGGUGAAAUCCCUCGGCUCAACCGAGGAACUGCCUUUCAAACUGCAUGGCUUGAGUCCGGGAGAGGUGAGUGGAAUUCCCAGUGUAGCGGUGAAAUGCGUAGAUAUUGGGAGGAACACCAGUGGCGAAGGCGGCUCACUGGACCGGAACUGACGCUGAGGCGCGAAAGCGUGGGGAGCAAAC
rnacentral:rRNA from 1 species